rnacentral:tRNA from 3 species
CGGCCCGUAGCGCAGCUUGGUAGCGCGUUCCCUUGGGGUGGGAGAGGUCGCAGGUUCAAAUCCUGUCGGGCCGACCA